rnacentral:lncRNA from 1 species
CAUGACGAGAUAGAAUAUUUAGUGGGUCACUUAGUGGGAAAUGAUGUGGACACCUUGCAUGAAGAGAGAAUUUAUCUAGUGGGGUUUAGCUUUAUAAGAGUAUAUGAUAUGGGUCUCUUUGGCAUGAGAAGCUAAAAUAUGGCUUCAAUGUGCAAGCUCAUGAAAGCAGCUGAAGCCGAAGAAGCCACAUUCCACUUGCGGAAGUCAAGAAAUGACUUCACUCCCUGGUGCUUUAUUCCAGAAGUUGUUUCUCACAUAGAUGUUUGGCAGGGCUUCACCUCAAGCAGUUCAAGCUAAAGCUGCCCAAAAGUCCUACAAAAAAUGCCCUAACAGUUGGAAACUAUUAAAGAGGGUUUUCUCUGGUCCAUGGCAAAACCUGAUUUUGAGAGAACUUUUAAGGAGCCCUUGAGAUGCUUUUAGUGUUUAUGGGCUAUCUCUUUUGGUGUUUAGUGUCUGAUGGUCAUUUCAGCGGCAAAAGAAAGGUUCUCGUCUUGGUCAAUCGCUACCACAACAAGAGUGUGGUUUUCCUUUUCUUCGCUUGACCAUUUUUGUGGGAAGAAAAGUUUGACGUAAUGACACUAAUGGACCGACCCUUCAUGAUGUGUUUUUGCAAUCAUUGCUGAGGUCUGUUUUGUCUUGUUUACGUUUUAGUCGGCA